rnacentral:rRNA from 1 species
AGUGAACGCUGGCGGUAGGCCUAACACAUGCAAGUCGAACGGCAGCACAGUAAGAGCUUGCUCUUACGGGUGGCGAGUGGCGGACGGGUGAGGAAUACAUCGGAAUCUACUUUUUCGUGGGUGAUAACGUAGGGAAACUUACGCUAAUACCGCAUACGACCUACGGGUGAAAGCAGGGGAUCUUCGGACCUUGCGCGAUUGAAUGAGCCGAUGUCGGAUUAGCUAGUUGGCGGGGUAAAGGCCCACCAAGGCGACGAUCCGUAGCUGGUCUGAGAGGAUGAUCAGCCACACUGGAACUGAGACACGGUCCAGACUCCUACGGGAGGCAGCAGUGGGGAAUAUUGGACAAUGGGCGAAAGCCUGAUCCAGCCAUACCGCGUGGGUGAAGAAGGCCUUCGGGUUGUAAAGCCCUUUUGUUGGGAAAGAAAAGCAGCAGGUUAAUACCCCGCUGUUCUGACGGUACCCAAAGAAUAAGCACCGGCUAACUUCGUG